rnacentral:rRNA from 1 species
GAUGAACGCUGGCGGCGUGCCUAAUACAUGCAAGUCGAGCGAACGGACGAGAAGCUUGCUUCUCUGAUGUUAGCGGCGGACGGGUGAGUAACACGUGGAUAACCUACCUAUAAGACUGGGAUAACUUCGGGAAACCGGAGCUAAUACCGGAUAAUAUUUUGAACCGCAUGGUUCAAAAGUAAAAGACGGUCUUGCUGUCACUUAUAGAUGGAUCCGCGCUGCAUUAGCUAGUUGGUAAGGUAACGGCUUACCAAGGCAACGAUGCAUAGCCGACCUGAGAGGGUGAUCGGCCACACUGGAACUGAGACACGGUCCAGACUCCUACGGGAGGCAGCAGUAGGGAAUCUUCCGCAAUGGGCGAAAGCCUGACGGAGCAACGCCGCGUGAGUGAUGAAGGUCUUCGGAUCGUAAAACUCUGUUAUUAGGGAAGAACAUAUGUGUAAGUAACUGUGCACAUCUUGGCGGUACCUAAUCAGAAAGCCACGGCUAACUACGUG